UGAAAGUGCGUGGCUUUCAUCAUUGCAUCCCUAUUUCCCUAUCACUAGCUCCUAUCCCUCUGAGUACUAACACACGCAACCAUAUCUUUAUUCUCUUCUCAGAACCUCUCAUCUCUCUUCACUCAGUACCAUUUUCCAGACAACUAUCCAUACCAUACUUGUCCUUUCUUCUUCUCUUUUUCCAUUUUCUUUCUCCCAAGAUUCUCUCUAUGAGUUGCGUAAUUUUGUCGGACCUUUCUGAUGUCAAUUCGAGCCUCUAUGAGAAGCUAUUCUUAAAGAAUGAUUGAAAGAGAUAAAUUAUGGUGUCGGAAUUAAUUCUCAACAAAGUGCAGUGCUUCACAAGGGAAACAUUCUGAAACCUUGUUGCAAGUUGGGAUUGAAUUGAUUGUUACAAAAUCUCAGGCACUUUCUACAGAGGAAGAAGGAAUUUCAAUACACAGAACGACAAUAGAACAAUAAUCUAGCUCAAAUGGGAAGUGAUAUGGAGAGAGAUGAUGAAGAAGAAGCAUCGGUGGGCGAAAUCUUGCGAGAUCGUUUCUGACUCAGCACAAUCUCCAUUGCAAAAGCCAAAGGGAAGAAAAAUGGCAUGUAAAUUUCUUAACCUACUAUGGCCUGUCUCUCGGAUUUAGCCUUCAAAUGUGCCCAGCAAUUAGCUAAGGAUCUCGAAUUAUUCGCUCAGCAUACUGAUCGCAAGUCUGUGAAUAUGGAAGAUGUCAUACUUUCUGGUGAGAUAUAACUCUUGCCAUGGCAUUUGAAGGAUCCAUGGCUUUGAAAUUAUAAAAUUUAACAACCCGAUUGUCCUAGCUUGUCUGACCAGACCUCCAUCCUAUUGUGUUUAUCAAUUGAAUAUGCAUUACAAUCAUUUACUAAGUUGCCUAUAUAGAUGAGCUGUUGGUAUUUAAGCUUUUAUUAGUUAUUUCAUAGAUUUUGAAACAUGAUGUUCUACUACCAUAACUUUAUAUUUGGCAUACUGCUUUUCCAUCUGAUUUGUCCAUCUGUUGCAUUGGUUAAUAUGACAUAUUAUUGCCAUAGUUGAUGAGAAUCUUAUACAGCCUUCUUAUAUGAUUUUCCAUGGUGUUGAAGGACUUCACCUCCAUGGUAAUAGGGAAAAAUUGAUUUAGAGCUCAUGUACUGGUAUGUAGAUUAACAUCUUUUUGUACUUUUGUGUUCUAUUAUCUAUAAUCAAGCCUGCAUGUCUUUCUACAAUGGAGUGCUUUUUGUACAGAGUUGGUUUUAUAAUUGUCAUAAGUUUAGAGAAAUAUUGAAUUGAUGAACAGGUAUACUGUCAUUUCACAUGGUUUUCCUUUGUGGAAUACAAGCUACAUAGUGUUGUGCAAAUCAUUUUUUGUUCAGCUCAUAUGGUUCAUAUAUUAGAGUCUUCAAGACUCUUAGCAUAGGAAAGAUAUGUUACUUGUUAGUCGAGACAAAGUCAUAAAUUUAUCGAAAUGAACUUUUCAAUAUAAAGCGAUCCACAAGCGAUUUACCUUGUUGAGAAUCACCAAUUGUUCUUAGACCCUGGAUAAGCAUUCUCUAUGUGCUGAUAACAUUACAACAAAUAAAUAGUCAUUUUUGUUUUUAAUUUAAUUGUCAUUACUUGAUAAGCUAUACACAAACAUGUUCUUGAUGAUACUGAAUUUUCAGUCGCUGUAGGGUAUUACGUGGCUCGAAUGGAUGAUUAUUAACUUAAUUGCUUGGUAAUGACAAUAGAGUAGAAUCCCAUGAAGCAGACAAAACUAACUAGCCAUUUGUAAGUAUAAAUACAUUGGUUUUAGUUAGCUAAAGAAUUUAUAUUCUUAAACAUGGGACUAUCAUGCUAUGUCGUUCUCACUCUACAGUGCAAAGAACAACUAGACGUUAGCUGCUACUGGCCAACUACAUAUUGCCGAGGAUGACAGAACAUAGAAAAUACGCCACAUAAAGAAAAAUAAGCAUAUCUGUUAAGAGCGCCUUCCAAGUUUGUUUUCUAAAACUAUUGAGGAUUAUUAUGAGCAAGCAUAUAAUAAUACACAAAAAGAACUAUAAAUAAUUUUCAUAAAUUAUAUCUAAUGAAAUAAAUUCGUUUU